UAAAAGGUCGACGCGGGCU
rnacentral:siRNA from 1 species